rnacentral:rRNA from 1 species
UGGGGAAUAUUGGACAAUGGGCGCAAGCCUGAUCCAGCCAUGCCGCGUGAGUGAUGAAGGCCCUAGGGUUGUAAAGCUCUUUCACCGGUGAAGAUAAUGACGGUAACCGGAGAAGAAGCCCCGGCUAACUUCGUGCCAGCAGCCGCGGUAAUACGAAGGGGGCUAGCGUUGUUCGGAUUUACUGGGCGUAAAGCGCACGUAGGCGGACUUUUAAGUCAGGGGUGAAAUCCCGGGGCUCAACCCCGGAACUGCCUUUGAUACUGGAAGUCUUGAGUAUGGUAGAGGUGAGUGGAAUUCCGAGUGUAGAGGUAAAAUUCGUAGAUAUUCGGAGGAACACCAGUGGCGAAGGCGGCUCACUGGACCAUUACUGACGCUGAGGUGCGAAAGCGUGGGGAGCAAACAGG